ensembl:miRNA
UUAUUAGGUUGAUGCAAAGGUAAUUGCCGUUUUUGCCAUCACUUUCAAUAGCGAAAACUGCAAUAACCUUUGCACCAACCU